GCUACCACGCGAGUGGAUGCCAAUCCCAAAACCUCUCUCAGUUCGGACUGGAGUCUGCAACCCGACUCCACGAAGCUGGAUUCGCUAGUAAUCGCGCAUCAGCCACGGCUCGGUGAAUACGUUCCCGGGCCUUGUACACACCGCCCGUCAAGCCAUGGGAGCCGGGGGUACCUGAAGUGCGUAACCGCGAGGAGCGCCCUAGGGUAAAACUGGUGACUGGGGCUAAGUCGUAACAAGGUAAC
rnacentral:rRNA from 1 species